rnacentral:rRNA from 1 species
AACGAACGCUGGCGGCAGGCUUAACACAUGCAAGUCGAACGCAUCCUUCGGGGUGCGUGGCAGACGGGUGAGUAACGCGUGGGAACGUGCCCUUCAGUUCGGAAUAACCCAGGGAAACUUGGGCUAAUACCGGAUACGUGCGAGAGCAGAAAGAUUUAUCGCCGAAGGAUCGGCCCGGGUCUGAUUAGCUAGGUGGUGAGGUAAUGGCUCACUAAGGCGACGAUUAGUAGCUGGUCUGAGAGGAUGAUCAGCCACAUUGGGACUGAGACACGGCCCAAACGCCUACGGGAGGCAGCAGUGGGGAAUAUUGGACAAUGGGCGCAAGCCUGAUCCAGCCAUGCCGCGUGAGUGAUGACGGCCUUAGGGUUGUAAAGCUCUUUCGUCCGGGACGAUAAUGACGGUACCGGAAGAAGAAGCCCCGGCUAACUUCGUGCCAGCCGCCGCCGUAAUAC